AAUCUCAAUGUCAUGGUCACUCCUACCGACAAGAAGUCCAUCACUGAUUACGGUUCUCCCGAAGAGUUCCUCUCUCAGGUCUUUGCUUUACUCCAUCAUCUGUAAAGGUAUUGAUGUUACAAAAUCUAAUGAAGUGUGAGACUGAGUGGUGAUUUGGGCUUUAUGCAGGUUAAUUACCUCCUAGGGAAACAAGCUUACUUCGGUGAGACUGCCUCUGAGGUAAACUUCCCAUUGUUAUUUGUUAUAAGUAAACCAGAAGCUGAUAGAAUAGAAUAAGAGAAUCAAACACUAAAGAGAGAACACAUUGUCUCCCUCGUUGUUAACUGAUAAAACAAAACUCAAAAGCUUUUUUAACUGAUAACCUUCAAAGACCUCUCUAGUAGUCGAUGAUUAUUACAAGAAAGAUUCUUACCUUAGGUGGAGUGAGUUAUCAAGUUCUAACUCUGUGUGUGUGUGAAUCUGAUGUUCUUACAGGGAGGCUUUGACAACAAUGCAGUGGCAACAGCAAACAUUCUGGAGUCAUCAUCUCAGGAAGUUGGUGGGAAACCCUACUAUUACUUGUCUGUGUUGACAAGAACGGCUGAUGGAGACGAAGGUGGGAAGCAUCAGCUGAUCACAGCAACCGUGAAUGGAGGGAAGCUUUACAUCUGCAAAGCACAAG
rnacentral:lncRNA from 1 species